rnacentral:rRNA from 1 species
AAAUUGAAGAGUUUGAUCAUGGCUCAGAUUGAACGCUGGCGGCAGGCCUAACACAUGCAAGUCGAACGGUAACAGGAAACAGCUUGCUGUUUCGCUGACGAGUGGCGGACGGGUGAGUAAUGUCUGGGAAACUGCCUGAUGGAGGGGGAUAACUACUGGAAACGGUAGCUAAUACCGCAUAAUGUCGCAAGACCAAAGAGGGGGACCUUCGGGCCUCUUGCCAUCGGAUGUGCCCAGAUGGGAUUAGCUUGUUGGUGGGGUAACGGCUCACCAAGGCGACGAUCCCUAGCUGGUCUGAGAGGAUGACCAGCCACACUGGAACUGAGACACGGUCCAGACUCCUACGGGAGGCAGCAGUGGGGAAUAUUGCACAAUGGGCGCAAGCCUGAUGCAGCCAUGC